UUCUCCUUUAAGUUUAGUCCCGUGAGGCUAAGAAGGAAGCGACCAAAAAGAAAUCUUAGGCGUUUUUGUACACUUUUACGAUAUAAUUAGUAGGAUUCGUCUAGGCUUUAAGGGUAUUUUGUAUAUUUUUGUGAACUUCACUCCUACCUUACGCAGGUAGGAGUUUUUUUAU
rfam:Enterococcus columbae DSM 7374 = ATCC 51263 genomic scaffold acyDG-supercont2.3, whole genome shotgun sequence.